rnacentral:rRNA from 1 species
UACAGAGGUCUCAACCGUUGUUCGGAUUCAUUGGGCGUAAGGGUGCGUAGGCGGUCGUGCAAGUCGGAUGUGAAAUCUCAGGGCCUCAACCCUGAAACUGCAUUCGAUACUGCGCGGCUAGAGUGCUGGAGAGGAGACUGGAAUUUACGGUGUAGCGGUGAAAUGCGUAGAUAUCGUAAGGAAGACCAGUGGCGAAGGCGGGUCUCUGGACAGAUCCUGACGCUGAGGCACGAAGGCCAGGGGAGCAAACGGG